UUUCGAACAGAGCAGUUAAGCCCGCCAGCGCAGAUGGUACUGCCGCAAGGUGGGAGAGUAUGUCGCUGCCCUUC
rnacentral:rRNA from 1 species